rnacentral:rRNA from 1 species
GUGGGGAAUAUUCCGCAAUGGACGAAAGUCUGACGGAGCAACGCCGCGUGAGUGAUGAAGGUUUUCGGACUGUAAAGCUCUGUUGUUUAGGACGAAAGUGCCUGUUGCAAAUAGUUACAGGUAUUGACGGUACUGAACGAGGAAGCCACGGCUAACUACGUGUCAGCAGCCGCGGUAAUACGUAGGUGGCAAGCGUUGUCCGGAAUUAUUGGGCGUAAAGAGCAUGUAGGCGGGAAUCUAAGUCUGUUGUGAAAAUGCGGGGCUCAACCCCGUAUUGCGAUGGAAACUGGGUUUCUUGAGUGCAGGAGAGGAAAGGGGAAUUCCCAGUGUAGCGGUGAAAUGCGUAGAUAUUGGGAGGAACACCAGUGGCGAAGGCGCCUUUCUGGACUGUGUCUGACGCUGAGAUGCGAAAGCCAGGGUAGCGAACGGGAUUAGAAACCCCUGUAGUCC